rnacentral:rRNA from 2 species
CCAGUCAGCGGGGCUACCCGCUGAAUUU